ACGACGCUGGCGGCGUGCUUAACACAUGCAAGUCGAACGAGAAUCUGCUGAAGGAGGAUUCGUCCAACGGAAGUAGAGGAAAGUGGCGGACGGGUGAGUAACGCGUGGGUAACCUGCCCUGUACCGGGGGACAACAGUUGGAAACGACUGCUAAUACCGCAUAAGCGCACAGCAUCGCAUGAUGCAGUGUGAAAAACUCCGGUGGUACAGGAUGGACCCGCGUCUGAUUAGCUAGUUGGUGAGGUAACGGCUUACCAAGGCAACGAUCAGUAGCCGACUUGAGAGAGUGAUCGGCCACAUUGGGACUGAGACACGGCCCAAACUCCUACGGGAGGCAGCAGUGGGGAAUAUUGCACAAUGGGGGAAACCCUGAUGCAGCGACGCCGCGUGAGCGAAGAAGUAUUUCGGUAUGUAAAGCUCUAUCAGCAGGGAAGAAGAAUGACGGUACCUGACUAAGAAGCACCGGCUAAAUACGUG
rnacentral:rRNA from 1 species